UUCUCUGAUUGGGCCAUCUCAGCGCCACCUCACCUCCUCCUCCUCCUCCCGUUGGUCCACCUCAGCCUCUUCCUCCUGUGGACACAAAUCGGCCACGUCCCUCUUCCACGGAAAAAAAAUCUCGGGCUCUCUCUCCCGUCCCUUCUCUCUUCACUCCUCCCUCCUCCUGACGCCGCCACCAGGGGCGACCGCGACGGCGAUGGGCGCGAGCGGCGCGCCGCGGCCGCCCUCCUCCUCCUCCUCCUCCUCCUCUUCUUCUUCUUCUUCUUCUUCCUCCUCCUCCUCCCUCCCUCCCUCCCUUUCCCUCAAGCGACGACGGCGGGGCACCAGGUGAUGGCGCGGCCUAUAUGUGAGGCCUGACGACCCCCUCCCUCUCCUCAAUCCUCCGUGAUGCCUCAUUGAUGCCACCUCCCGCCGCGACGCCUGCGCUCCUCCUAUGGGCGAAACCCUAGCUGUCAUGCCGGAUGCGCCAAACCCUAAACUUGGGCAUCCCGACGCAGCGAGAGGGCCAAGCGCGGCGGCGGUCGAAACGGUGGCGCCACCAGUGCAUGCUGCAGCGGGUUUUCCCCUUCUCCCUCUCUCUGUCGCGAUGCCGGGCCGUACUGGCUGGCGGGUGGUGCCAGUGGCCGGCGGCGUACAACAUCCUCGCAGCUAGGCAGCCGGGGUUCCGCGGCCGUAGCGGCGACGCAGGGUCAUCCCUCGUCCUCCCCUGUCUCCUGCUGCUCAGGAGCCCAGCCACCAGUUUAUUGCUCUGUUUAUUCCCCUACAAAUCUGAACCUUGUUUCUGAAUGUUUCAUGAUUAUUGUGUUGUUUAUUUCCAACUGGAUCAACAACUCAGUGAAAAAACAUAUGAACAACUCCCCCACGCUAACCAUGUUGCAAACCUGGUAGCUUGGCCUGAAGUUGCGCCACAACGCUUUUGCUUACUCAUUGUCUUUUUUCAGAUUUUUCCCUUCAGAUUAACUAAUGAGCCUCUAACAUCAAGUUAACUAAUGAUUACUAUCUUCUUUCUCAACAUUACCUUACAAUAGUGACUCAUUGUCUACUCUAUUUUAUCUCUCAUUCUUACAUUGUUGUCGAAGGUUACCAACAACGAGCUGCCUGGACAGUACCAAAAUACCACAUGGCCUAGCUGUUUUCUUGCAGUAAGGUAUUAUGAUGCCCCUCUCUCUUUUUUCUUUGGUCACUUAGUCUAUUUGCUUGGUUUUUUCCUUCUCGUCUUCAUCUCAGAUUUUGUUUUGGCUAAAACUAUUGAUCCAUGAUAAUAUUUGACUUGAUUUGACUUACACUCUACCACAUUGAAUAUUUGUGAUAUUGCCUAGCCUAGGUUUAAGAUACCUCCAAAUUGACUUAAUUCCGAUCUAUGUUCAAAUUGGUUGGUCCUCUGCAUUGAUAAGGGUCGAACAAGAGCUAUGGCACAUAUGAUUUUACCUGGUCAAGACAUCAACAUUAUACUAUUGGUAAACUAUCUCUAAAUUUAAUUAAUUAAUUCUUUCCCUAUACAAAGAUAUAGACCGUAGUCUACAACAGAAAAAAUAUAUACCUAGGCUAAUAGGAAUAUGUAUAUAUUUACCUCCUUGCUUUACUGAACUCCAUUGCAAAAUCGUAUUUACUGUUGUGCACCUGGUAAAUGUAAUUUGUAGGAAUUAUGUACUUUAACUCACAAAAUGGAUUGCUGCGCAGGAUAUAGGUUGUUUUCUUCUCAGCAUGCACUGAAUUUUUUAUAUCAGUCUAUGUAGUAGCGAUUCAACUAUGUAAUAUUGUUUUAUGAGCUCUUCUGUUCCUUCUAUUUUCUUGCCCAUCCAUCUAAGGUCCGAUGGAACAUUUCAAUCAACAAGGAACUUAUUUAAUUAUGUACCAGUUAGCCUAUAAUGGAAUGGAUACAUGGAUUAGUGCUUCACCUGUGUCAAUUGUUCUUAUAUGAGCUUCUAUAGGUUUAUUAAUUAACUUGCCCAGACAUCUACAGGUCUCAUGAUUGUUCUCCUGCAAAUAUUGGUGGUCGCAUGCUAGCAUGGUUAUUUUAUCAUGAAACACUUUAGAUCUCCUGGUUCCAGCUGAUUUUAUUGCAAUACUUCGUAUAGUUUCAAUGAUCUUCUCUAUUCCUUUUAUUUUCUUAUCCAUCCAUCUAAGGUCUGAUAAAGUGUUAGUCUGUAAUAAAAUAAACGCAUGGAGUAGUGACUCAGCUAUGUCAAUUCUCCUUAUAUGAGCUUAUAAUCUUAUAUAAGUUUUUAAAUUUACUUUCCCAAACAUGUAAAGCUAACACCAACUUCUCUAUUUCUUGACUUUUGGCUUAUUUAAAGUAAUCCAAGUAUAGUAAAGUAAUCCCACCUCAGCCACCUCAGGCCAGUAAAUCUAUAUAAAAAAAGGAUGGUCUCAAGAAGGUGGCCACCUCCGUGCUGGUGCUCAGCCAGUGCAGGCCAUCUCCCUGUUGCUGGUUAAGUUGUGCCCUGAAAAUUAUAUGGUGGUUGGUUUGCCAUAUAAUUAUUCAUAUUUAUCAUCUUUGAAAUCUAUGGUUUCUAUCCGAUGGCUGCACGAAAACACAUACAGUUAAGUGUGGGUAGGUACAUUCAUUUUUUUUUAGAAUUGGAGGCCUUUUAUUUGCUUGCAUACCUCAUGAUUUUUGUUUACUAACCAAAAAUGAUGAACAUUUUCUUUUGUGAGCCAAUUCAUAUUCUGCAGGCCUCUUUCCUUGUCUCAGGAAUGCACUGAUUCUGGUAAGUUCACAUAGGUGCAGUACAUGCAUGAGUAGGUACAUUCAUUUUUUUAGAAUUGGAGGCCUUUUAUUUGCUUGCAUACCUCAUGAUUUUUGUUUACUAUCCAAAAAUGAUGAAUAAUCUCUUUUGUGAGCCAAUUCACAUUCUGCAUGCCUCUUUCCUUGUCUCAAGAAUGCAUUGAUACUGGUAAGUUCACAUAGGUGCAGUACAUGCAUCGGGAUUUUGGUUUUCAAUCUUUGGAACUUAGCUUUUCAAAAACCUUUCCAGACCAUAAUUUGGUUUUGUCAUCUGCCAUUUUUAUUCUUUUUCCACCCUCUUUCAGCCUAUGAUGAACAUUUUACCCAUUGCUAAACAAUAUGAUCUGUUGUUUAUUCGUGUAUGAGGUACUGGGCUUAUAUCAUACAAUUUCUGAGUGUAACUCUGUUGCUGCCAUGCCUAGAAGCUCAGAACUAAUAAACAAAUGAUGGUUGGUAUGCUUCUGAGGUUUAAAAAACCUAUUUUCAAUGAAAUAAUAAUAAUAACUUUUUUGGUAAGACGACAGAUGUCAUCUGCCAUUUUUUUAUUCUCCCUUCCCUUAUUCAGCCUAUGAUGAAAAUUUAUAACCAUUGCAAAAGGAUAUGGUCUGAUGUCCAUUCGCUUGUGAGGUACUGGGCAUGUCUGUCACUUAUUUACUCUUACAAACACAAGAUGCUCCCAUGUAGGGAAGGUAUACACCCCAUUGGUCCACCUCAGCACCACCUCGUCUCCUCCCCUCCCGUUGGUCCACCUCAACCACCUCAGGCCAGUAAAUAUAUACUCAGCUUCAGCUUCUCAUUAGUAAAAAAAUUGUUUCCCAUCUCUCUUCGCUUCCUCCCGACGCCAGGGGCAACGCAAGCGCAACGGCCAUGACGCUGGCCAUGAGCGGUGCAGUGUGGGCGCCCUUCUCCUCCUCCUCCUUCCUCUUAGGGCGGCAGUGUGGCGGGCGACAGCGACGUUUAUCUCUACAAGCCCGAAGCUCACCGCCACAGGGGAAGCUAUACACGUCACCCCAAAAUCUCCCAUUGGUCCACCUCAGUGCCGCCUCACCUCUCCUCCUCCCAUUGGUCCACCUCAACCAGCAUGCCUUUAAGCUCCAAGUUGGUAGACAAAUGAUGAGUGGUAUAUUUCUGAGGCUUCAAAAUAAAUCAUAUCUUCAAUGAAAAUAUAAAAAGGAUAGCUUUUUCAUUACGGUACCAAAAAAAAUUCUAAUUCAUCAGCUACAGUUUGGAGAUCACUCCACGACUAUACUUAUUGUGUUCAAUACACAAUACUGCAUUGAUACUGCACUUAUAUGAACAAGUUUGUUGAUUCUGUGCUAUACACUUUCAUUAUUGUUUCCCUUCAAGUUCUCGAGCUUAUUUCCAUGUAUAUGUUACCAAAUCUUGCUGGUUUCAUGCCAUCGAAUGACAUUUGCUCGAUAGAUUUGGGAAGGGAGACCUUAUCAAGAACCCAUAUUUUCGAUUUCAUCGGUGUUUACUUUAUUUCAUUUUUGGUAGCUGCAUCAGCACUUGAUCUGGUAGUAGAUUAUUCUAAUAAAGUAAUAAAAGACCUAGUGAGUCAGCCGUUUGGUUCACAGUUGUUUAUGUGUUGCUGAGUGAUGCAAACUGUCAUCUACCUCUUCCAUCAAAUUGCCCGUAGCCACAUUGUACUGCAGCUAUCUUUGUUUAGAAAAUAACUGGACCAAAGUAUGUGCUUGUGUUCUAAAAUAUAAGAGCAGAUGUUGAUUAGUCUAAUUAAUUUAACAGUCCCACUGAGGUCUUCUGCUUAUUUUCCAAAAUAGCACGCUGUCUGCAUAGUGGAUCCUUCAAUGUUCGAUAUCCUAUAGAUUAGUUACUUUCAUUUAUUCAUGCAGUAUUGAUUUUAAUUCGUGUUGCUCAAGUCGUUGUUGAUUUCUCCUUACUAUGGUUAUCUUUACCAAUAGUUAUAAAGAGACCAAGGGCAGCCAGUGCUUCUAUGGAGAUGGCAACCUUUAAAGACAAUAAUGAAAGAUAGUGUCCUCUAUGAAGCAUUAUAAGAUCUGCAUCAAGAUGAAAGAUCUGCAAUGUUCAUAGCAGCUAAUUAUAGUGGAUAAUACUUUGAUGUUUACAAAUUUUGGAGGACACACAACCACUGUAUCUAUAGUUUUGUAGGUGUUGUAAGAUUGUGCUAGCAAUGACAGAUUAUAGAUAAAACAUACUUAAAAUGUUCAGACACCUACGAUAAAGUAUCAGAACAUUCCAUUCUACAAAGAAAAAAAUAUUCUGCCUCGGAUCAACACGUCAGCACUUGCUAUAUCCUGACCACACUGACUAUCUCAUGCUAAGUACCACCAUUGGUGCUUAACAAGAAAAUUUAUCACGCCACGCUUUAGUGUCUGUACUGGUACGAUCACUGUCCCCCUAGAACAAUAAUUCUGCCCGUGUAUUUUGCCAAAUGGAGUACAUGAGAGAAAAAGUUUUGGGAAAUCGACCACACACAAUGACUAUAUGACUGAAGCCAUGUCAUAUUGUGUUAGUUAUGUAGUUUGGUUAAAUUUUGAAGGUUCAAGUAGAUUAUGAUGCAUGUCAAUUACAAAAUAGAAAUAUACUAUAUGCAUACAUUAGUGUCAAUUCCUUUGCCACUUUAUAUUUAUGGUUAAUAUGUGAGGUUAGUACUUUCUAGGUUUUUUCAGUGGAUCAAACGAUUUUGUAUCAGUGUUCAGGCUAUAAAAAUUUCUUCAUAUUUGCGCUAAUUUGCUAAGGUCAUCAGAUCCAUACCUAUGCUUUUAGUGUAGCAUAUGUGUGCUUUUAUCUUACAUAUCUAUCAGGUAAAUUUCAUCAUUGUUUUGUUUCUAAUGGUCCACCCAAAAGAUUUAUUUGUUUCUUAUCAGAGCCGCGAGGCUCAGCGUUUGGUUACAUGGUGUCGAUCUGUUUUGCGGAUUUGAGCCUCUAACUUCCUAUUCUGAAAAUGAUGGGUUUCAAAUCCCUUCAGGAAAUACAUUUUGUUUGUCCUCUCAUGUUCUCAUUUGUGUCAUACCUAUAGAUGCAGUCUCCACAUCGGAUUGGCUCAGCAAGCUGUCCUUUAUAAUGUUAUCUUUCGGUAAGUACAUGCCUAUGCCGCCCUCUUAUUUUUCUUUGUACUGAAUUUUAGCAUACCUGUACCCAAAUGGCCUUCCAUACACACGACAGAAGAGGAACACCCCAUGGAUACUAUAUUUAACAUGUAUACUCCUUAUCUGCCUCAAAAUGUAAUGUAAUGUAAUAUAAUAUAAUAUAAUAUAAUAUAAUACGAUACGAUACGAUACGAUACGAUACGAUACGAUACGAUAUAAUAUAAUAUAAUAUAAUAUAAUAUAAUAUAAUAUACUAUAGUAUAAUAAUAUAAUGUAAUGUAAUGUAAUUUCGUCACGUACAUGACAUAUAGAAAAAAAGUUAAAAAAAAACAAGUAGUAUUAGCGGCCUGCAUAUGCAAAGCUAUAUUCAUGCUGCCUAUGUCCCUGUGCUCCUUCUAGAUCCGUGCCUUCGGAUAUGCUAUUUUUCUAUUAAAUCCACUAUUUCUGGCUCAAUUUUUUUGUUUCCUUUUUCCCUUUCCCUUCAGAAACAUGCGAAACUUUGGUGCUCUGCCUUUUUUCCUACAUUAAUUUGCUUUUACUCCUCAUGACACAAAUCUUUUUCUUCAUACUGUAACACCUUAAUCUGCUUUUACUCCCUAUGACACAAACCCUUUUCUUCAUAGUGUAACAGAUUUGACAUGUACCUUGCAUGCUCUCUAUGCUACUAACCAUUUUCCUAUGGAGCAGCAAGAUCGGUCCUGCAUUUGCAAUAUGAACAAGGCCAUACUCGGUGCAUAGAACAGCUCAUGGUUCAACUUGAUAGGUUCAACUGAACUAGACAUGCCAGCCUGCUUAUGAAAUUUCAAAAUGCUAUUUUCCCAAUGUAUAUUAUUUGAAGCACCUAUACUCAGCUAUGUAUAGGAACUGUUAUAGGUCCGUCCACAGAGGUCUAAAAUCAUGGAUGUCAACUUCUUUUGUAACCCGAGUUUAUCCAGUAUUACAUAAUACAUUAUUUACUAUUUUGAUUUCCAAUCGGCGCGCAGGGCGCGCCAUUCCUACUAGUACCAAUUAAGGGUCUAUUUGGGGCUCGGCUUCGGUAACAGCUUCUGCAAGGAACCGUACAAAACGCUCUACAAGGAGGAUGAGUUAUUUUUUGAUAAGCAAUGGAAGAGUCAGAGUCGUUUCUUGAGCGAAAACCAAAGUUGUAAACAAUGACUCCUCUUGAGGAGGAGCACUUGAGGAGUCGUGUCAAACCAGCUCUAACUAUUGAAUGAUUUUGUAUGAAGCUGGCUUUUAAUUCUUUUAAUCCCCCUCCUCCCAUAUUCCUUUAGGUUCCUUACAACAUCACCCUUGUAUCAUCAAUCGAUUUAUAUUACCUCUAUUCUAAACUAUAGAUUAUGUUGA